rfam:Triticum aestivum genome assembly, contig: Triticum_aestivum_CS42_TGACv1_scaffold_211562_3AS
AAAGUACUCCCUCCGUUCCAAAUUACUUGUCACAGAGAUAGAUGUAUCUAGAUGUAUUUUAGUUUCAGAUACAUCCAAUUUCCGCGACGAGUAAUUUAGAACGGAGGGAGUAUCUC